rnacentral:rRNA from 1 species
UACGUAGGGUGCAAGCGUUAAUCGGAAUUACUGGGCGUAAAGCGUGCGCAGGCGGUUGUGCAAGACCGAUGUGAAAUCCCCGGGCUUAACCUGGGAACCGCAUUUGUGACUGCAUCGCUGGAGUGCGGCAGAGGGGGAUGGAAUUCCGCGUGUAGCAGUGAAAUGCGUAGAUAUGCGGAGGAACACCGAUGGCGAAGGCAAUCCCCUGGGCCUGCACUGACGCUCAUGCACGAAAGCGUGGGGAGCAAACAGG